AUGAUUGUGCACUGAACACCAGUUAAGGUGUCCUGUCCCAGUAAAGGAGAAGCUGUGGUCAUAGGAUAACAGUCCCAAGGAGCAGUCACCCAGGGAGAAAUGUGAAACUCAAUUUUACCCCCAAUUGAGGCUGAUCCCUGAUGACUUGCAAUCAAUAGUCUGUGAAACAAUAAGCGAGAUGCCUCCAGCUCUGUCACACGCGUCAAGAUCUGCUUC
rnacentral:lncRNA from 1 species